GACGAAGGGGGCUAGCGUUGUUCGGAAUUACUGGGCGUAAAGCGCGCGUAGGCGGAUCUGCAAGUCGGGGGUGAAAUCCCGAGGCUCAACCUCGGAACUGCCUUCGAUACUGCGGGUCUCGAGUCCGGGAGAGGUGAGUGGAACUGCGAGUGUAGAGGUGAAAUUCGUAGAUAUUCGCAAGAACACCAGUGGCGAAGGCGGCUCACUGGCCCGGUACUGACGCUGAGGUGCGAAAGCGUGGGGAGCAAACAGGAUUAGAAACCC
rnacentral:rRNA from 1 species